rnacentral:rRNA from 1 species
GACGUAGGGGGCCAGCGUUGUUCGGAAUUACUGGGUGUAAAGGGUUCGUAGGCGGUGUGGCAAGUCGGGAGUGAAAUCUCUGGGCUCAACUCAGAGACUGCUUCCGAAACUGCUGUGCUGGAGUGUGGGAGAGGCGCGUGGAAUUGCAGGUGUAGCGGUGAAAUGCGUAGAUAUCUGGAGGAAUACCGGUGGCGAAGGCGGCAUCCUGGACCGACAUUGACGCUGAUGAGCGAAAGCUAGGGGAGCAAACGGGG